UACGUAGGUGACAAGCGUUGUCCGGAUUUACUGGGCGUAAAGAGCGCGCAGGCGGUCGAUCAAGUCGAGUGUGAAAGCCCCCGGCUCAACUGGGGAGGGUCAUUCGAUACUGAUCGACUCGAAGGCAGGAGAGGGUAGUGGAAUUCCCGGUGUAGUGGUGAAAUGCGUAGAUAUCGGGAGGAACACCAGUGGCGAAGGCGGCAUCCUGGACCGGCAUUGACGCUGAGGAGCGAAAGCUAGGGGAGCAAACGGG
rnacentral:rRNA from 1 species